CCAGCCUGGGCAACAUGGCAAAACCCUGUCUCUACCAAAAAUAGAAACAAACAAACAAACAAAAAACAACAAAGCUGGGCAUGGUGAUCCUGUGACUGUGGUCCCAGCUCCUCUGGAGGCUGAGGUGAGAUGAUUGCUUGAGCCCAGGUGGCGGAGGUUGCAGUAAGCCACUGAAUCCCAGCCUGGGCGAAGUAGCCAAACCCCGUCUCAAAAAACAAACAAACAAACAAAAACCCUGAAUCCUGACUUGCUUCUGCCACAUAAUGGCUAUGUGACCUCAGGCGAGCUGUAGUUGAGCCUCAGCUAUACAAAGGAAUAAACUGGCUGUCACUAAGGCACAGCAAACCCUUAAUCCUACACCAGACUUGUCCAGAACUUGGCCCCAGGCGCCAUGCUGGUCUCCCAACUCACUCCACACUUGUCAGUUACCAGAUCCUGAGAUUUGAAGAUUCCCAAGAACAAGCAUCCCUCUAAUUGUUCCUCAUAGCUAGCAGGGUCCUUCCAUGAGCCCCUGGGUUAGUCUGGAAAUGAUUGCCAUACAUUCUGAAUUGCAGUGGGGGAGGAGUGGCAGGAAUCUCUACAUCUAGAAGGGUUCAGUAGAUGAUUACACAGGCACACAAGGAGGCUUGGGAAACUCUGAUAGUUCUUGUAAUAAUUACCAGGCCUUUCCCUUGAAGACUUUUUCCUGGGGGGUGAGGGUGGUAGGCCUGGAAUCAGCAUAUUUAACAAGCACCCUAGAUUUGUAAAGCUCUAACCCAGUGCAUGCUAUUUUCCAGUCCCACUGUUACUGCCUUAGUUCAACCCUCAUUAGCUGUCCUCACCUGGCCCAGGACAGCUGGUCUCCAAGUGCCCUCCCUAACCCCAAUUCUCCACCCAGCUCCUUCAGAAGGAUCUUUCUAAAACAGAUUGGGGGCCAGGUGUGGUGGCUCAUGCCUGUAAUACCAACACUUUGGGAGGCUGAGGCAGGCGGACCACCUGAGGUCAGGAGUUUGAGACCAGACUGGCCAACAUGGUGAAACCCCGUCUCUACUAAAAAUCUCCAAAAUUAGCCGGCCGUGGUGGUGGGCACCUGUAGUCCCAGCUACUCAGGAGGCUGAGGCACGAGAAUUGCUUGAAUCUGGGAGGAGGAGGUUGCAGUGAGCCGAGAUCACGCCACUGUACUCCAGCCUGGGUGACAGAACAAGACUGUGUCUCAACAACAACAAAAAACAGAUUGGGCCAGGCAUGGUGGCUCACACCUUUAAUCCCAGAAAUUUGAGGGGCCAAGGCAGGUGGAUCACUGAAGCCUGGAAGUUCAAGACCAGUCUGGGCAACAUGGUGAAAAGCCAUCUCUACAAAAAUAUAAAAAUUAGCCGGCCAGGCACAGUGGCUCAUGCCUGUAAUCCCAGCACUCUGGGAGGCCGAGGCGGGCGGAUCACGAGGUCAGGAGAUCGAGACCAUGCUGGCUAACACGGUGAAACCCUGUCUACUAAAAAAUACAAAAAAUUAGCCGUGUGUGGUGGCAGGCGCCUGUAGUCCCAGCUACUCGGGAGGCUGAGGCAGAAGAAUGGCAUGAACAUGGGAGGUGGAGGUUGAGCAGUGAGCCGAGAUCGCACCACUGCACUCCAGCCUGGGCAACAGAGUGAGACUCCAUCUCAAAAAAAAAAAAAAAAUUAGCUGAGUGUGGUGAUGUGCACCUUUAGUUCCAGCUACUCAGGAGUCUGAGGUGGGAGGAUACCUUGAGCCUGGGAGGGUGAAGCUGCAGUGAGCAGUGAUUGCACCACUGAACUGCAGCCUGAGCGACAGAGCGAGACCUUGUCACAAAAGAAAAAACAACCACCCCCACCAACAAACUUGGCCACGUCGGGUUUUUGAACCAGGACACCCAAUGAUAAUGGCUAACUUAAGGAAGGCUUACGGCUGGGCGUAGUGGCUCACGCCUGUAAUCUAGCACUUUCGGAGGCUGAGACAGGAGGAUUGCUUGAGCUCAGGAGUUCGAGACCAGCCUGGGCAACACGGUGCAACCCCGUCUCUACUAAAAUACAAAAAAUUAGCCAGGUGGGGCGGCGGUCGCCUGUAGUCCCAGCUACUCGGGAGGCUGAAGCAGGAGAAUCACUUGAACCCGGGAGGCGGAAGUUGCAGUGAGCCAAGAUCACGCCAUUGCACUCCAGCCUGGGCGACAGAGUGAGACUCUGUCUCAAAAAAAAAAAAAAAAAAGAAAAGAAAAGAAAAACAGGCUUACUAAGUAUGUUAGCUUCUGGUAAAGGUGCAUUAGCACUUUGCAUAUUUAAUCCUCAAAACUGUAAGCUGGGCAUUAUUAGCCCCGUUUUACAGACUAAGGCAUAGAGGUUUUUUUUUUUUUUGAGAUGGAGUCUUGCACUGUCACCCAGGCUGGAGCUCAGUGGCACGAUCUCCGCUCACUGCAAGCUCUGCCUUCCGGGUUCACACCAUUCUCCUGCCUCGGCCUCCCGAGUAG
rnacentral:lncRNA from 1 species